AUUGAACGCUGGCGGCAGGCCUACCACAUGCAAGUCGAGCGGCAGCGGGAAAGUAGCUUGCUACUUUUGCCGGCGAGCGGCGGACGGGUGAGUAAUGCCUGGGGAUCUGCCCAGUCGAGGGGGAUAACUACUGGAAACGGUAGCUAAUAUCGCAUAGGCCCUACGGGGGAAAGCAGGGGACCUUCGGGCCUGCCGUGAUUGGAUGUACCUAGGUGGGAUUAGCUAGUUGGUGAGGUAAUGGCUCACCAAGGCGACGUUCCCUAGCUGGUCUGAGAGGAUGACCAGCCACACUGGAACUGAGACACAGGCCAGACUCCUACGGGAGGCAACAGUGGGGAAUAUUGCACAAUGGGGGAAACCCUGAUGCAGCCAUGCCGCGUGUGUGAAGAAGGCCAUCGGGUUGUAAAGCACUUUCAGCGAGGAGGAAAGGUUGGUAGCUAAUAACUGCCAGCUGUGACGUUACUCGCAGAAGAAGCACCGGCUAACUCCGUGCCAGCCGCCGCAGUAAAAC
rnacentral:rRNA from 1 species